rnacentral:rRNA from 1 species
GGGUUGUGAGGUUAAGCGACUAAGCGUACACGGUGGAUGCCCUGGCAGUCAGAGGCGAUGAAGGACGUGCUAAUCUGCGAUAAGCGUCGGUAAGGUGAUAUGAACCGUUAUAACCGGCGAUUUCCGAAUGGGGAAACCCAGUGUGUUUCGACACACUAUCAUUAACUGAAUCCAUAGGUUAAUGAGGCGAACCGGGGGAACUGAAACAUCUAAGUACCCCGAGGAAAAGAAAUCAACCGAGAUUCCCCCAGUAGCGGCGAGCGAACGGGGAGCAGCCCAGAGCCUGAAUCAGUGUGUGUGUUAGUGGAAGCGUCUGGAAAGGCGCGCGAUACAGGGUGACAGCCCCGUACACAAAAAUGCACAUGCUGUGAGCUCGAUGAGUAGGGCGGGACACGUGGUAUCCUGUCUGAAUAUGGGGGGACCAUCCUCCAAGGCUAAAUACUCCUGACUGACCGAUAGUGAACCAGUACCGUGAGGGAAAGGCGAAAAGAACCCCGGCGAGGGGAGUGAAAAAGAACCUGAAACCGUGUACGUACAAGCAGUGGGAGCACGCUUCGGCGUGUGACUGCGUACCUUUUGUAUAAUGGGUCAGCGACUUAUAUUCUGUAGCAAGGUUAACCGAAUAGGGGAGCCGAAGGGAAACCGAGUCUUAACUGGGCGUUAAGUUGCAGGGUAUAGACCCGAAACCCGGUGAUCUAGCCAUGGGCAGGUUGAAGGUUGGGUAACACUAACUGGAGGACCGAACCGACUAAUGUUGAAAAAUUAGCGGAUGACUUGUGGCUGGGGGUGAAAGGCCAAUCAAACCGGGAGAUAGCUGGUUCUCCCCGAAAGCUAUUUAGGUAGCGCCUCGUGAAUUCAUCUCCGGGGGUAGAGCACUGUUUCGGCAAGGGGGUCAUCCCGACUUACCAACCCGAUGCAAACUGCGAAUACCGGAGAAUGUUAUCACGGGAGACACACGGCGGGUGCUAACGUCCGUCGUGAAGAGGGAAACAACCCAGACCGCCAGCUAAGGUCCCAAAGUCAUGGUUAAGUGGGAAACGAUGUGGGAAGGCCCAGACAGCCAGGAUGUUGGCUUAGAAGCAGCCAUCAUUUAAAGAAAGCGUAAUAGCUCACUGGUCGAGUCGGCCUGCGCGGAAGAUGUAACGGGGCUAAACCAUGCACCGAAGCUGCGGCAGCGACGCUGAUGCGUUGUUGGGUAGGGGAGCGUUCUGUAAGCCUGCGAAGGUGUGCUGUGAGGCAUGCUGGAGGUAUCAGAAGUGCGAAUGCUGACAUAAGUAACGAUAAAGCGGGUGAAAAGCCCGCUCGCCGGAAGACCAAGGGUUCCUGUCCAACGUUAAUCGGGGCAGGGUGAGUCGACCCCUAAGGCGAGGCCGAAAGGCGUAGUCGAUGGGAAACAGGUUAAUAUUCCUGUACUUGGUGUUACUGCGAAGGGGGGACGGAGAAGGCUAUGUUGGCCGGGCGACGGUUGUCCCGGUUUAAGCGUGUAGGCUGGUUUUCCAGGCAAAUCCGGAAAAUCAAGGCUGAGGCGUGAUGACGAGGCACUACGGUGCUGAAGCAACAAAUGCCCUGCUUCCAGGAAAAGCCUCUAAGCAUCAGGUAACAUCAAAUCGUACCCCAAACCGACACAGGUGGUCAGGUAGAGAAUACCAAGGCGCUUGAGAGAACUCGGGUGAAGGAACUAGGCAAAAUGGUGCCGUAACUUCGGGAGAAGGCACGCUGAUAUGUAGGUGAAGCGACUUGCUCGUGGAGCUGAAAUCAGUCGAAGAUACCAGCUGGCUGCAACUGUUUAUUAAAAACACAGCACUGUGCAAACACGAAAGUGGACGUAUACGGUGUGACGCCUGCCCGGUGCCGGAAGGUUAAUUGAUGGGGUCAGCGCAAGCGAAGCUCUUGAUCGAAGCCCCGGUAAACGGCGGCCGUAACUAUAACGGUCCUAAGGUAGCGAAAUUCCUUGUCGGGUAAGUUCCGACCUGCACGAAUGGCGUAAUGAUGGCCAGGCUGUCUCCACCCGAGACUCAGUGAAAUUGAACUCGCUGUGAAGAUGCAGUGUACCCGCGGCAAGACGGAAAGACCCCGUGAACCUUUACUAUAGCUUGACACUGAACAUUGAGCCUUGAUGUGUAGGAUAGGUGGGAGGCUUUGAAGUGUGGACGCCAGUCUGCAUGGAGCCGACCUUGAAAUACCACCCUUUAAUGUUUGAUGUUCUAACGUUGACCCGUGAUCCGGGUUGCGGACAGUGUCUGGUGGGUAGUUUGACUGGGGCGGUCUCCUCCUAAAGAGUAACGGAGGAGCACGAAGGUUGGCUAAUCCUGGUCGGACAUCAGGAGGUUAGUGCAAUGGCAUAAGCCAGCUUGACUGCGAGCGUGACGGCGCGAGCAGGUGCGAAAGCAGGUCAUAGUGAUCCGGUGGUUCUGAAUGGAAGGGCCAUCGCUCAACGGAUAAAAGGUACUCCGGGGAUAACAGGCUGAUACCGCCCAAGAGUUCAUAUCGACGGCGGUGUUUGGCACCUCGAUGUCGGCUCAUCACAUCCUGGGGCUGAAGUAGGUCCCAAGGGUAUGGCUGUUCGCCAUUUAAAGUGGUACGCGAGCUGGGUUUAGAACGUCGUGAGACAGUUCGGUCCCUAUCUGCCGUGGGCGCUGGAGAACUGAGGGGGGCUGCUCCUAGUACGAGAGGACCGGAGUGGACGCAUCACUGGUGUUCGGGUUGUCAUGCCAAUGGCACUGCCCGGUAGCUAAAUGCGGAAGAGAUAAGUGCUGAAAGCAUCUAAGCACGAAACUUGCCCCGAGAUGAGUUCUCCCUGACCCUUUAAGGGUCCUGAAGGAACGUUGAAGACGACGACGUUGAUAGGCCGGGUGUGUAAGCGCAGCGAUGCGUUGAGCUAACCGGUACUAAUGAACCGUGAGGCUUAACCUUACAACGCCGAAGCUGUU